rnacentral:rRNA from 1 species
GUCUUUUUGAUAAUAAUUUAAAGUCUGGCCUGCCCAAUGAUAAUUUAAAUGGCCGCGGUAUUUUGACCGUGCAAAGGUAGCAUAAUCAUUAGUUUUUUAAUUGAAAGCUUGUAUGAAAGGUUGAACGAGAAAAUUACUGUCUCAAUUUUAUUUAAUAAGAAUUUUAUAUUUAAGUUAAAAAGCUUAAAUAUUUUUAAAAGACGAGAAGACCCUAUAGAGUUUUAUAUAAUUUAUUAUUUUAUUUUAAAUAAUUAUUUUUAAAUAGUUAAUUAUAUUUUGUUGGGGUGAUAAUUAAAUUUAUUAAACUUUAAUUUUUUUUAAACAUUAAUUUAUGAAUAAUUUGAUCCAAUAUUUUUGAUUAUAAGAUUAAAUUACCUUAGGGAUAACAGCGUAAUUUUUUUAGAGAGUUCUUAUCGAAAAAAAAGAUUGCGACCUCGAUGUUGGAUUAAAAUUUAUUUUUGGUGUAGAAGCUAAAAUAUUAAGUCUGUUCGACUUUUAAAAUUUUACAUGAUCUGAGUUUAAACCGGUGUGAGCCAGGUUGGUUUCUAUCUUUAAAUAAUUAAAAUGUUUUAGUACGAAAGGACCAAAUAUUUAUAAUAUUUAUUUAUUUAUUGAAUAUUAUUGUUAUUUUGGCAGAUUAGUGCAUUAAAUUUAGAAUUUAAUAAUGUAAUUUAUUACAAAUAAUACUUGUUUUAUAAAGAUUUAAUUUUAAUAUUAAUUAGAAGUUUAUUAUUGGUAAUUUGUGUAUUAAUU